rnacentral:sRNA from 1 species
AUAAAAUAAUGAAAACAACUGAUUUAAUUAGCAACAUAAUUAAAUCAAAGGUCGGCUGCGUAUCAGAUCUUCUGAUUAAUGAACAACACUAUCUAACACAUUUAUUGGAUAUAAAGCAUAUGGUAUACGUAAAUGGUUCCAUAUGCCCUCUAUUAAUCAGCUGAUGAUUGGGAAAAGGACUAAACUAAAUAAAUUAAAAACCCAAUGAUUACAUAACUAAAGUAACAACAUGUUGGUCAAAGGGUCUUUUGUCCAAUGACUAAUUAAUAGCUUACGAUAUAGUCAUAUACUAUGGAUCCGAAUGGUAACUGCGUUUUGCUGUGCGGGAGAAGUGCGGUGCGGUUCAAAUAAUAACGAAAAUAUAUAGAUACAUAUAUAUAUGUAGAAAUUUUAAUACUGUUACUGCACUGUUGCGGUACGGUUUUGAGUGCGGUUUAUGUCACCAUUCACAGUCUAUAUAUGUAUUCACACAUAUACAUGUUUUUAGCAUAUGAUCAGCAUGGAAUUGAGAUUUGAUGAGACAAGCAAUAAUUGGUCUAUUACUCUAUAGUCUCUAUGUAGAGAUAUUUGUUAGUAGUGUAAAUUAAAACGUGAAAGCUUCCUCAUGUGUGAUGGCCCAUAGGUGAUCAUGUCCAUCAUUUUGUGGUUGAAACUACUCACAUGGACUGAUGGACUCACAUAUAUCCCCAAUAUGGCACGAUAUAUUUUAUACAUAUACAUUAUUUUUGUUGGCAAAUUUUAUACAUAAACAUUUAUAUGCCCGAAUUAUUAAACAUUUCAAACUAAAAAAUGGUCGCCGGAAAAGAAGUUCAGUUUUUCAACUUUGAAAAAUUAUAUUUGGAUUUCAAAAUUUCGGACUAGUUUUGUGUCGCUCAAACACAUUCCUACAAAAAAAAUUGUUAUUUAAUAUUGAUGUAAAGAAAACUAGUUUUUCUUACAAUUUUU